CACUUCUUGACAACCUCUGCUGGAUAGUCUCUAAAGAUUCUUAUAUUCUCUCCUUCAAACAUCAGGCUUCCUGCGCUUGUCACUUUCUUCAUGAUAUCUCCAAGAACUGAUAGGUCGUGUAGUUUAAGAAUAAUCUGUCUUGGUGGGGCUCGAGCACCUGAUCGGGCUCUCUGGACUCGAUGUGCCUGAUCAAUUUUAGGUCUCUCAGGCAGAUUAAAUAGCUGGGGUUACCCAAAAAGA